CGCGCAGCGGCCAGAGGAGGGGGCUUCCCCGGAGGAUGCCUGGCGGCAGCGCCCGGCUUCUAGUCGUGAGCUGAGCCGGACCCAGAGCGGGCGGCGUGUCGCCAUGCCGGCGUGACGGUCGCCCCCGGCUUCCCGCGCGGGCCCCCGCGCUGCCCCACGCCGCGCCGCGCCGGCGCCGGGCGGCAGGAUGGGCUGUAUCCAAAGCAUCACCUGCAAGGCGCGGAUCCGGCGCGAGAACAUCGUGGUGUACGAUGUGUGCGCCACCAUCGACCAGUGCCCCACGCGCAUCGAGGAGACCUCGCCCAUCGUCCUGCGCUACAAGACUCCCUACUUCAAAGCCUCGGCCCGCGUGGUCAUGCCCCCCAUCCCCCGCCACGAGACCUGGGUGGUGGGCUGGAUCCAGGCGUGCAACCAGAUGGAGUUCUUCAACACCUACAGCGACCUGGGCAUGUCAAGCUGGGAACUGCCUGACUUGAGGGAAGGGAGAGUAAAAGCCAUCAGUGACUCAGAUGGUGUGAGCUACCCUUGGUACGGGAACACCACAGAGACUGUGACCCUGGUUGGCCCCACCAACAAGAUCUCCAGGUUCUCCGUCAGCAUGAAUGACAACUUCUACCCCAGUGUGACGUGGGCAGUCCCAGUGAGUGACAGCAAUGUGCCAUUGCUCACAAGGAUCAAGAGGGACCAAAGUUUCACUACCUGGCUAGUGGCCAUGAACACCACCACAAAAGAGAAGAUCAUUUUACAGACCAUCAAGUGGAGGAUGAGGGUGGACAUUGAGGUGGACCCUCUUCAGCUCUUGGGGCAACGGGCCCGGCUGGUGGGCAGGACUCAGCAGGAGCAGCCCCGGAUCCUGAGCCGGAUGGAACCCAUCCCCCCCAACGCACUAGUGAAGCCCAAUGCCAAUGAUGCCCAGGUCCUCAUGUGGAGGCCCAAGCGGGGGCCACCUCUGGUUGUGAUCCCUCCUAAGUAAAAGCAGACUGGCCUGACUGUGUGUGGAGCACAUACCACUGAGACAUGCAGUGAGGUUGCCAGGAGUGGCAAGAGCCAAACUGAGUUUCUGAGCCAAAGCAGACCUCUUGGUUUGCCAGCCUAUGCAGCCACUUGUGAAGAGUAGGCCUGCUCCUUGGGCGGUAGAACCAUAAUCCUUAGAAAAGUUCCUCCUUUUAGGAAUAAAGAAAUCACUGAUUUGACAGACUUGCUGUGAUUACCAUGCAAGUAGCCAUAUUUUGGAGCUGACCAGGAUGAUUCUUUUAUAUGAACUAUUGACCAUUUCUUUCCUGUGAGAUGCAGGGGAUAGAAACGAAGUUAAACAGUGCCUGUGGCAAAUGCUGCUUCCCAACCAAUUAGAAGUGGGCGUGAAAACAUCCAUACCAGGUGUCACCUAGUAGGACAAGGCACGCCCAGCAAGCAGAACCACAUGGCAGAGACUAAGAGGAGGAAAUGAGCAAUGGCUGUAGCUCCAGAAGCUGAAGCCCUGGACAGCUGAUUUCCCAUUAAAACGAGUGCCAUCCUGCCUGUCUCCUCGCCAUCCUCCCAUCUCAUGACCCGCACCCCCCCCCCAUCCCACCAUGUGCCAUGCAGCACUCCCCAUGGGCUGGCUGGGCUGGCUGGUUGGCUCCUGAGGAGCUAUGUUGAAGUGGGAGUUGUGUCUGCUGUAUCUUUGUGUGAAAAGAUUGGGUCCAUCCAGAUCUCAAGUUCAUCCCCAACCCUCUAAGUGAAGCUGCCCAGGGAUGAAGAGCUGGUCAGCCUGCACUUCAGAUACCUAAAUUGGCCCAGCCAUGGUUCCCAAACCCUGCCUUCCUUCCCUACACUUUUGGGUGGGAAACAGGGGAAUAUGUAUCUCCCCUCUUUCUCCCUUCUCCACACGGGUGGCCAAUGUUAAUAAUACUCUUUCAAGAUUUCUCUGAUCCUUGGAGAGUCAGGGCCAAAGCAAUCUUGUCUCCCCUACACAUCCAGGCUGGGUGCCUUCAGGUGACCAAGGGCGAAGGGUAUGUCACCAGGAUCAAUGGGGUAAGGGGAGAACCACCCUAAGAGGGCAAAAAAUGUGUGCAUUGUUUUAUUUAUUGGUUUAUUUAUUGGCUUGCUCACUGAUUUAUUUAUUUAUGAAAUGUCUAUUUAUUAUACAGCAGAAAAUCCACUCCCAUCCAGCCCCAGAAUUUAUCUUCUUGGCCCCAUAGAGCACAAUGAGUUAUUCCUCUUUGAAGCCACAGAAAGCAAGGGGGAAAAGUUCUCUCUCUCCACCCCAUCCUGAUUUUCAACCAGAAAUGGAGUUAGAAACCACCAGCUAGUGAGGCUGUAAAGCCACACAAAUCAGCAGAGGCUCGACUGUCCAGACAGAAGCUCUCAGAAUCCUCUCCCCACCCAACCUCCCCUUAGAACCAGUCCUCCCCUUCUUGUGCGCGGGUGGGGAUUGGCCAGAGGGCUCUAGCCUAACCAUCUCAGAACUAGACUUCUUCUGCUCGGGUGCUGUCUUCUUACCACCACAUGCAUGUUAGAGACACCUGAGAAGCUUAAAAAAUCCAUGCCUGGUCCCCUUCCCAGCUCAUUACAACAGAAUCUCUGGGAGUAGAGCCUGGGCACCGGUGUUUUCAAAAAGUUACCCAGAUGAUUCUAAUGUGAGACUAGGGUUGAGAAGCAUUUCUAGUGUCUUCUCUCCUUUGCCUCUCCCCACUACCCCCAUCCUUCAUCUUUAUCUCCCAAGCUUUCUCCAGUGCAGAGAAUGGGAAAGGCCGCUGAGGAUGACAGAGUUCCCUUCCCAUUCCUCCAGCCCCUCCCCAUCACUGAACCUCCCCCAUCAGGUCAACCAACCUGAGCACAGCCCUGGAGAGUUGGCAGGUCCCACCUGUGUCACCUGUCUCCUCACCAUCCUCUCUGGUUGU